AAGUCGUAACAAGGUCUCCGUUGGUGAACCAGCGGAGGGAUCAUUACCGAGUUUGCUUUUCUAGCUCGAAACCCACUGUGAACAUACCUCUUUACUCGUUGCUUCGGCGGCCUGGUCCCCCUCUCCCGGUCUCGGGAGGCGGGGUUCGACCGUCGGAGGGACGCAACCACAAACUCUUUUAAAUUACCUCUCGAGUAUUAUCUGAGUCGAUAUUUUUUAAAUUAUCAAAACUUUCAGCAACGGAUCUCUUGGUUCUG
rnacentral:misc_RNA from 1 species